ensembl:lncRNA
UGUGUGUGUGUGUGUGUGUGUGUGUGUGUGUGAUGCUGCUCUCCCUGUGAGUGCUGGCAGUGUCGGCUGUGCCGGGACCUCUGAUCUAGCGUUGCUGCAGGACUACAGUAGGACUGACAAAGAACUGUGUAUGAGCUUUCCUGACCAAAUGGUGAGCCUUUUUUACUUCGCAGAGCAUGUCUGGGCACGUCUGCUACCUUUCACCUGGAAUAUGCGCAUCUGGGUACAUACGACUGCAUGCCCAGUUCUGUCUACGCAUGUGUGGUAUUGUUUGCUGUGUCCGCAUCUAGUACUUAUUGACCCUGAUCCUAUUUUAGUGGAGAUGGUCUGUUUUUAGAUCCAGGGAAUCAUUUUUGAAUUGAAAAAGACAAGGGUAGAAUCAAAAUGUAAACCAUGUAUUUCUGAUGUGACCGGAUCUUGAUUGGUUAUUUUAACUCACUCAUCCAAAGUUUUUUUUUUUUUUUGUCUGGCCAUUAAAUCACCAUUGCUUCUGUUAGUUUUCCCACUCCAAGGUGCUUGUUUGUCCAGUGUAGUCUACAGCAGUGUUUCUAACUCCAGUUUGCCCAACAGCACACAUUUGUGUUGUUGCCCCAAACAAACUCACCUGAUUCAACUCAUUGAGGGCCUGAUGAUUAGUUGACUCGGGUGUGCUUGUCCAGGGCUACAACAAAUAUUUGUGCUGUUUGGGGUACUGGAAGACUGGAGUUGGGAAACACUGGUGUGUGUGAACCAUCGCUUACCCUUUGGGCUCGACCCUACAGAGAUGUGAGCGCCUACUGCUUGUCCUUUCAUGCAAAAAGUACAGCAUUGUCCUCUACAGACCAGGAAAGCUCUCUUAACAUCGUCCUGAUACGGGGACUGUUGCUGCGGAAACUGCCCCCUCCCCUCACCGCACCCAGUCAGAAUUUGUGUCCAAUGUCUGGCUUCUCCACACACUGUUGAAGAGCGUGAAGUAUUCCAAGUCAGUGGACCGAUUUGAGGCAUGUUUCGGGAGGGAGCUGGUCAAAACGCUUGUGGGGAUCCUGCACCCUUCGCUGCUCGUCAACCCCCACCAAGGGGAAGCGGAGAGGAGUGCAGAACAAGAGGGGGGCAAGGAGAAAGUGUCCAUGAGGAGAAUCCAAGGCCUCUAGAGGAGCACGCAGGCAGAGUUCUUUCACACAGGACUCGAUGAAAGCUGGAGAAUGGCAGCAGAAGGCCGUAUUUGUGUAUUUAAUUUGGUCUUUGAAUUCCUUGGUGAACAUAUUUGUACAUAGUUGCAGCCAAAUAUUGGCACCCUUGCACUUUUUUUUCCUUUAAAAAAAAAAAUUUCUUCUAAAAUAACUUGAAAUUUGGAAAAACCUUUGGUAUCUACACCUUACUGUAUUUUCAACAUUACAGACCCAAUUUACCCAAUUGGUAAAUUUAAGUUUACAAUUUGGCAUGUACAAAAUGAUUGGCAAGUACUUGGUUGCAUAGCCUUUGGCCAAGAACUACAGACAAAUGCUUCUUGUAGGCAUCAGUAAGGUGGCUGCAUCUUAUUACUGGUGAUUUUACUCAGCCUUCAGAAGCAAACUGCUCUAAUUCUUUAAUGUUUGAGGGGUGCCCUCCACCAACUGCUGUUGUCAGCUCUCGCCAUAGGUUAUGGAUGUGGCAACUGCUCGGCCUCGUUCCUGCCAUCCAGGACCUCCUAUACCAGGCGGUGUCAGAGGAGGCCCUAAAAAUUGUCAGACUCCAGCCACCCUAGUCAUAGACUGUUCUCUCUGCUACCACACGGCAAGCUGUGCCAAGUCUAGGUCCAAAGGUCUUAACAGCUUCUACCCCCAAGCCAUAACUCCUGAACAGCUAAUCAAAUGGCUACCCAGACUAUUUUCAUUGCCCCCUUUCCUGCACCUAUUUUAUGCUGCUGCUACUCUCUGUGUAUUAUCUAUACAUAGUCACUUUAACUCUACCUACAUGUACAUAUUACUUCUACUAACCGGUACCUACUCACAUUGACUCUGUACCGGUAGCCCCUGUAUAUAGCCUCGCUAUUUGUUAUUUUACUGCUGCUCUUUAAUCAUUUGUUACUUUUUAUAUAAUUUGGUUGUGUGUGUAUAUAUAAAAAAUAAAAUAUAUAUAUAUUUUUUUUUACUUAACACUUGUUUUUCUUACAAGUUAAGUAAGCAUUUCACUGUAAGGUCAACACCGGUUGUAUUCGGCGCAUGUGACAAAUACAAUUUGAUUUGAUUCAGAUCUGGCCACUCCAGAACAGUCCAGCGUUUCUUCUUGAACCAUUCCAGGGUGCCUUUAUAUUUGUUUGGGGUUGUUGUCCUGCUGAAAUUACCAUCAACCUUCCAACCGAGACCAAGUGUUUGGACACUGGGUUGAACAUUGCACUCCAAAACACCUUCAUAAUCUGCGGUUUUGCUUAUGUACAAGGCCCCAAGCACUAGAGGCAGCAAAGCAACCCCACAGCAUUAUCAAACCUUCCCUAUGUGUGUAGUUAUUUUCUUAAUUUGGUUGUUGGUUAACAUAGGAAGCCCCCCACUGCCGAAGAAGACUCAAGAAAGCCUGAUUGAAUGCUGGACUGUAGUGGAGUGGCCAGCCAAUAUUCCAGAUCUACAUCCCAUCCAAAACCUAUGGUAAGAGCUGAAAAUAGCAGUUGGAAGAAUAAGAGCAAUUUGCUGUGAAGUGGGACAAAUUGCCAGUAGGAAGGUGCAGCAAGCUCAUUGAUGGUACAAGAAGUGUUUGUCUGCAGUUGGCCAAAGGCUGUAAUUUUGUCUGCCAAUUGUUUUUCUUUUCUAAAUUAGUAGUUUGCAAAAAUACAAUGGGUUCUAGAAUGUUGCAAAUCCAAGGUCUGGAGACAAAGUUCUCAAUUUCAAACUAUUUUUGAAGAAAUGGGGAAUUAAUUGAGAAGUGCAAGGGUGCCAACUAGUUUGUUACAAAGUUUAUCCCUUGUGUAAAAAUCAACAAUGUUGCACAUGGUUUGAC